ACAAUUUUGUUUUUUGAAGCAUACUUGCAAAGAUUAUUGAUCAUUGCAUCAUUUGGUUCUUGAUUUGGUUUCCCUUGUCUGAUUUUUUGGGAAAAGUGGGAUUGAUUAAGAGGUUUGAAUAUGAUAAAUUUUUCUUAUAAGCACACUUGUGAAGGUUGAUGAUCGAUGCAUCAUUUGAUAUUUGAUUUGGUCAAUUGUUGGAAAAGUGAGAAUUGAUUAAGAGGCUUGAAUAUGACAAGUUUCUUUUUAAACCACACUUGAAAAGAUUGAUUGAAUGUAACAUGCAAAAGUGUAGUUUUUCUUACAUGCUUGUCUUUGGACCGUUCAAAAUAUCAUAUGUUGCUUAUCUAGAAAAUAUCAAUAUUUUGAUUGAAAAUAGUUUUCCUUAUUUGAUAUUCAAAUUUAUGUUUGCAAUGCAAUCCUAUGAAGCUCACUGACUUUUGUUUCUUUUGUAGCCUAAUCUAAAUGUGCAUAAAUGUAAUCGUAGGGGGUCUACUUUUUCUCUUCAGCUUAGACUUUGUGUCUCUGUUGCUUGUGACCUGUAUGGUUUGUUAAUGCAUGUCCUUCAGUGGCAAAUUUCUUCUGUGUGAACUUUUGAAAAGCUUGAUGUCAACAGCAUCAUUCAUUGGGUAUUAUGAAUGCUCAUAUGUAAAUGCAGGAUAAUUGAGACUGAUUUGGAGCUUUGAACAUGAAAUAUGUCUUGUGUUUUCUCACUUCGUAUAUUUUUCCUACUAGACAAAUGGUCGUAUUUUGAUUUAAAAUUGAUAUCCUUUUACAUUUGACUGCAGACCUUUAAUGCACUUAUAUGUGGUUCGGUAAUGAUUAUAUGACUUGUUCCUCAAUCUAAAUGUUCAUAAAUAUUUUUAUUUAAUGUGGUUCUACUUUUGCUUUCUGCUUAAACUCUACUAGUCUUUGUUGCAUUGUAUCUCUCACAUAUUUGAUUUUGUAAAACAUUUUUAUUUGACAAAUUUCUAUUGUAAGCACAGUUGUAAGGAUUGAUGAUGGUUGCAUCAUUUGAUGCUUUAUUUGGUUGCCCUUGCCCAUUUUUGGGAAAGGUGAGAUUGAUUAAGAUGAUUGAACAUGACAUGCCAAUGUUCCCUAAUUUUUCUUACGUGGAUCUCUUUGGACCCUUUGGAAUCUCAUAUAUGGCUUAUGUAAUAAUUUUUUUGGUAUUCGAAUUUAUAUAUUAAUAUACUUCUACAAGGCAUAGUGAUGUUUGUAACAUUUGAUGCAUAAUCUGUAUGUACAUAAAUGUAAUUAUAAGGGUUCACUUUUCCUCUUCAGCAUAGACUCUCUGAGUCUUUGCUACUCAUAGCUGAUAGCUCCCAUACUAACGUGCUACAUAUAUGUCCUUCGUAGGCUAAUUUCUUCUUUAUGCACCUUUGAGAAGCUUUUUUUCCACAAAUCAUUUGUUACUUUUUAUGAAUGUUCAUAUAUAAGUGCAGGAUAGUUGAGACUGAUUCGGAGCCUUGAUUAGUGAAUAGAAAGCUGCCUUGUGUUUUGCUACAUUAGUAUAUUUUGCUUGCAAGACAAAUGAUAGUAUUUUGAUUUAAAAUUGAUGUCCUUGCUUUGGCAUUUCACCACAGGACCUUUAAUGAACUCUCACGAGGUUCAUUGACUAUUAUAUGAUUUGAUGCUUAAUCUAAAUAUGCAUAAAUAUAUUGAAAGUGACUUUACUUUUGCGUUUCAGUUUAAUCUGUCUUUUUUUGCUUGUACUCCUUUCAUAUUUUUUCUAAAUGUAUCCUUAUUUGACAAGUUCUUUUUGUAAGUACACUUGCAAAGAUUGAUGAUCAUUAUAUCAUUUGAUGUUUGAUUUUGAUGCCCUUGUCUGAUUGUGAGAAAAUUUUGUUGAACAAGAGGUCUGAACUUGACAGCAAGGUUAUCUUAAUUUUCAUUGCGUGCAUGUUUUCAAAUCCUUCAAAAUAGCAGAUGUGAUUUAUUUUAGAAAUGUCAUGUAUAUCCUUAUUUUACAUGUUGCUCUUGUAAGCACACUUGCGAAGAUUUAUGAUCAGUCUCAUUCGAUCCAUGAUCUGGAUGCAUUGUUUUAUUGUGGGAAAAUUGAAACUGAUUAAGAGGUUUAAACUUGAUACAUGCAAACUGCCUUAAUUUUCAUCACAUGCAUGUCUUCAUAUCCUUCAAAAAUGUUGCAUAUGCCGCUUAUCUCAGAAUUGACAAUAUUUUGAUGAUUUCCUUGCUUUGGUAUUUGAAUUUGUAUAUGCAAUGAAUUCCUCCUUUUCCUUUUCAGUUUGGACUUAUCAUGUGCUGUUUGUAGCCCCUUUACAUGAGUGUCUUGGCAAAUUGCUCAUGUUUGCACACUUGUACAGCUUGAUAACUAUUGCAUCGUUUUUUCGUUAUUUUGAAUGCUUGUAUACAAAGAUGAGAAAAUUUUGACAAAUUUGGAGCCAUGAACUUGAAAUACAAAGGUACGUUGUGUUAAAAAUGAUAUAUUUGGCCUACUAGAUAAAUUGUACUCCUACUCUUUUGAUGCUUAGUUUGAUUUGGUGGCAUUUAGAAUGUACUCCUACUCUUACGCUAAAUAUAUUUGUUUGGCAAGUUUUUAUUGUAAGCAUUCGCACAAAGCUUGUUGACAAAUGAUGCUUAAUUUGAGUUUCUAUAUGCGAAUUUGAGAAAUUGAGGAUUGAUUUGGUGUCUUGAAGUUGGCAUGCAAAGCUGCUGUUGCCGUAUCUUCCCAUUCCAUGCCAUGCAUUGUGUCAAAAUGAAGUUGGGAUUGAUUUGGAGCUUGAACUUGACAUGCUAAGCUGCCAUUACUUCCUGUUGAUCCGUAUUUACGUUUUUACCUCGAAAUAUUUGUAUGGAUUGGAAAUAUAUGAUCCAUUAAAAUACCAUAAAUUGCUUAUUAGAAAUUACAAUAUAUUGACCAAUGAAUGUGUAGCUCAACUGGUAAUGGGUUGGAUUGUGUUAACUGAUGGUCUAAAAUUCGAGUUUUGGGUAUUCAGUUGUGUUAAAUAUUUGUUGAGAGUUUUGUCACCAUUAUGAUUCUGCCCGACUAGGCCUGUACAAUAUACUGAUUUGAAAUAGGUGUGUUGGCUUUGGUA